rnacentral:rRNA from 1 species
AAGCGUCCGCAGGUGGUUAUGAAGUCAUUUGUGAAACCGUUGGGCUCAACCCAACGUGCGCAGGUGAUACUUCAUGACUCGAGGCCGGGAGAGGCAGAUGGAAUUGCUGGUGUAGCGGUAAAAUGCGUUAAUAUCAGCAAGAACACCAAAGGCGAAGGCAGUCUGCUAGAACGGUCCUGACACUCAUGGACGAAAGCGUGGGUAGCGAAUGAGAUUAGAUACCUCAGUAGUCCACGCCCUAAACGAUGAAUGCUAGAUUUUGGGAGUAUCGACCCUCCCAGAGUCGGUUAACCAAGCUAACGCGUUAAGCAUUCCGCCUAUGGAGUACGGCCGCAAGGCUAAAACACAAGGGAAUAGACGGGGACCCGCACAAGCGGUGGAGCAUGUGGUUUAAUUCGACGGUAAGCGAGUAACCUUACCUGGGCUCAACUACUAGCUGCAAACUCUAUGAAAGUAGAGUGCCUUCGAGGGUGCUAGAUAGGUGCUGCAUGGUUGUCGUCAGCUCGUGCCGUAAGGUGUACCCUUCAGUGGGGUAACGAGCGCAACCCCUAGAUCGUGUUAUACGUGUCACGAUCGACUGCCUUCGUAAGAAAGAGGAAGGCGGGGAUGACGUCAAAUCAGCAUGGCUCUUACGUCCAGGGCGACACACAUGCUACAAUGGUCGGUACAACGGGUUGCCAAACCGCAAGGUGGAGCUAAUCCCUUAAAGCCGGCCCCAGUUCGGAUUGUUGUCUGCAACUCGACAACAUGAAGUCGGAAUCGCUAGUAACG